rnacentral:pre_miRNA from 1 species
CUAGCUUCUCCACAAUUUCUCACCCUCGUUGGGAUCAGAAGAGAGAGAGCACAGCCCGAUGUCCAAUGUUCAGGUCGAAUGGGCUGUGCUCUCUCUCUUCUUGCUCCAACUUGGGUGCUACACGCAUCUAGGGUAC